rnacentral:rRNA from 1 species
UACGUAGGGAGCAAGCGUUGUCCGGAAUCAUUGGGCGUAAAGCGCGCGUAGGCGGCCCGGUAAGUCCGUUGUGAAAGUCAAAGGCUCAACCUUUGAAUGCCGAUGGAUACUGCCGGGGCUCGAGUCCGGAAGAGGCGAGUGGAAUUCCUGGUGUAGCGGUGGAAUGCGCAGAUAUCAGGAGGAACACCAAUAGCGAAGGCAGCUCGCUGGGACGGUACUGACGCUAAGGCGCGAAAGCGUGGGAGCGAACAGG